rnacentral:rRNA from 1 species
GACGGAGGGUGCUAGCGUUGUUCGGAAUCACUGGGCGUAAAGGGCGCGUAGGCGGCUUUGGCCGUCGGCUGGUGAAAGCCCGGGGCUCAACCCCGGAGGUGCGGCCGAGACCCCAAAGCUGGAGGCCGGAAGAGGAGGGUGGAAUACCCAGUGUAGAGGUGAAAUUCGUAGAUAUUGGGUGGAACACCGGUGGCGAAAGCGGCCCUCUGGUCCGGACCUGACGCUGAGGCGCGAAAGCGUGGGGAGCAAACAGG